CUCACACUCUCCACUCCACUGUCAGAAGCGGACCUGGGCUCUCCUCCCUCAGCCCUGGCCUUGAGGCUGAGGCCUGGCCCUGGGGCAGGACCAGCCGACUCCCGGUUCUGCCCAAUGUGGCCCGCAGGCACUGAGCACAGGCUGGAGGCCAGCCUUCCAUUCCGCCCAUCCCCUCACUAGGCGGUCAAGGUCCCCUGGAGCCUCUGUUUCCCCAUCAGCCAAAUGGAAAUCCCAGCUCCCACCCUGCCUCCUGAGAGAAUGGGGAAACCCACUUGUGUAAACUGUAAUGUGCUGUGAAGACAGGAAGGGCCGCAGGCUGCAGGAAGCAGGGCUCCCCUCUACGGCAGCAGCAGAAGCACCGGCAGCUCCUGCUGGGCUGGCCUCCACCACGUUUCCCUCCUGCCCUCUGGUCCCCAUGGAGUCUGUCAUCUUCUGGCCACUCUCAGCUGAUGCUGAAAGUGAGUCAGGCGAGAAGAUGACCUGAGUGCAGGUGAAUCACGGGACCAGGAGGAGGAAGUGGAUUGUCACCAGACUGUCCUUCUGAGAGGCCAAGAGAGCAAGAGCGUGCCAUCCCAGCCCGAGCGACCUCUCCGGCAGGAGCAGAAGGUCCCUGCCUGAGCUCCUGGAGGCCCAGCCCUGUGCUCCACUGUCCCUCCAUCCACUGUCUGAACACCAGGUAGCUGAAGGCCGAUUCUGGGUCAGCGUGCAUGAGGUUCCUCUGGGGAGCACUGGAGCAGGAGUCCUGCUGAGGAACUCUGUGCUGUGACUGUUCCUGUAGCCCUGAUCUUAGGGCUGAGCCCUCUGCCUGUCCCAGACUGUGGUGUCCCGAGGAACACAGGUCACCUAAGUUCAUUCUCACGCCGUCUUCCCAUGAGCUGCUCGUGUGGACAUUACAACCCCAUUUUACAGAAAACAUUCACAGGUGUUUGGCAUGAAAAACCCCUUGCUGGAUUUUGUGGCACCUCCAAACAUUUAGGGGACCCUUGUUGAAGCUGGACUGGGUGUGAAGUCUCUCUUCUUGUCCAGCCCGGUGCAGCAUCCUGUGGGGCUGGGAGCCUCUCCAGGUCAGGCCUGCCUCGGAACCGCCUCUGACCCAGAGUCCAGCCCGAGGCCGCUGGCAUAGAGGAGGUGGCAGUGCCUGCUUGUUGAGUGAAUAUAUGACCUGGAUGGGGGGAACAUUCCUUGAAUGGAAGUGUUGAGAAGAUUGCUUUUCCCCUGGAGCAAACUAAAUCUUGGAGAUCUUGCCCUGUCAGGAGGUUGAAAUCUACCUUAUGACCUGCAACUGCCGCGGAGGACAUGGGGCCGCAGAGGACUGCCGAGACAGGAAUUCUCAUGCCCAUUUUACAGAUGAGGAAGUUGAGGCUCAGAGAGGGCCCAGGCAGCCAAGGCCCUAAUUACGCAGGCUUCCCGAGGAGGAGGAAGAACGAGGGGAAGUGGCCCCAGCCUCCUUACGCACUGUUUCCUCCUGACUCACUGCUGACCCGCUUGCCAGCCGGAAGUCACCAAAUUUCCCCAAACUUAUGGGUACCUGCCAGGUCAUGGGCCUGGUCCCAUUCUCCCCAGACGGGCCCGCCUCAGCUGACCUACCUCCCAGGCAUUUGGCUGAAAGAGGCCAAGCAGGGUGAUCCUGAGGAGCUGGGGAGGCAGGUGGGGGCGGGGAGACACUCAGGGUAUGGCCAGGGUGUGUCCUCGGUGCCAGCGCCCCACACAGCGUCCUUGGCCUGGUUUCCCCAGGGCAGCGCUCACCUGAUCACCUUGUGCCAGUCUCCUUGGAGGCCACCGGCUUAUUCACAAGGCCACUUGUGCCCAGUGGCCAAAGGGCACCAUAGCCAGUAGGGUCUGCCUGCCCUCCCAUCACAAAGGGUCCCAGAGAGGAGGCGCCCUACCCCACAGGGCCUUGGGCUUGGUCUGCAGGUCCUGUGCACCCCAGGCCCUCCUGCUCUGCUGGCCGUGUGGCCUGGACAGGCUGCCUCUGGUCCCGGGCUUCUUAACCUGUGCAACGGAGAUCCUCAGAUCUACCUUGUGCAGCUGUUGCCUGGAUCAGAUGGAACCCUGUGUUCAGAAGGCAUGGGGUGGUGCUGGCUGCAGGCUGCUGCCCUGGGGCUUUCUGAGCCGCAUCCCCAGGGCCAUCAAAUCCUGUGGGGCUCGCUUGUGGAGUUCCCAGUCUGCCUGCAGAGCAGAAUCUCUUGGGAGAUUUUAAACAGAUUUCACUUUGUGUCAAAUCCUGUUCAUAUUUUACACGUCCAACAUUCUACAGAAGAGGACAGAAUUUGUGGUGCCCCGGGUCCCCACAUCCAUGACCAGCCCACGUCCAUCUUGUUUAUUUAUACUCUGCCAACUACUUCCUUUCUUCCUAUUGGAAUCAACCCAAGGAGGUAUUUUUUAAGUACAAGUGCCAGAUUCUCACCUCCAGGAAUUUAAUCGAGUCAUCCAGGCCCAGAAAAAGGGUAUUUCCGCAAAGCUCCGGGAGACGUGGAGGUGCAGCCAGGGCCCGCCUGCGGGGCAGGGAGACCUGGGGCGCUGCCUCCAGAGGGUCUGGGAGACGUGGUGAGACCCCAGAGCAGUGGGGACAGACUCGAGGGGUGCACAGCACCUCCACUCCAGACGAGGAGAGAAACCACACGUGGAGACAGAUCCCACCCCAUGCCCACCUCAGGGUCUGAGAGGGAGAGGCCGACUCCCUCUUGGCUGCCUGGAGAGGCUGCUGACAGAGCCGUCAAUCCCACGCUCUGGGGAGAGCAAAGACCUGUGUGGACAAACCCACCCAGGAGAGUGGUUAACUGGCCAACCGCAAGGCUGCACAUUCCCGGGGGACUGAGCCAGCCGGUUCCUAUCAAAGGAGAGCCUGGCGCUGGCAGAGCUGGCGACAAAGGAUGCUUUGUUCCCCCGUUAAAAUAAACACUUCCCCUGGAUGUUUACUCCCACGUCUCGAAUGUAAUAUGGGGUGUAAGUUACUCUUUAACAGCUGACUUGGUCCAGGCCACCGAACUCUCCUGCACUAAUUUCCUGGAAGAAAGGCGUUCCCACCACCAACCCAGGUGUUUAUUAACCACGCCCCUUGGCGGUCAAGGAGAAGCUGGGUGCGGCUGUCACCUCUGAGAACCCGUGUGUCCUUGGGGGGCCACCCUCAGCCUUCCCUGAAGAACCAGUAGCGAGUUGACCAGUGAGUCCUCGGCUGUCUGGACAGGGAAACUUGAGGCUAGUGGGGUAGUUUUCCUCUGUGAGGUGAGAAACCUGUCUGUUCAGUCCCCACUUUGAGAGAACACAGUCGACCUAGGCUCCUGGGGAAAGUGGGCAUCCGGCUGGCCAGGCCGGCCCCCAGCACCAGGGCCCAGCGCACACCCACUGCAACUAUUACCAG
rnacentral:lncRNA from 1 species